AUUCUUUUAGUAUUAAUAAGUACAACUGACUUCCAAUCAGUUAGACUUGGAAAAAUCCAAGAAGGAAUA
rnacentral:tRNA from 1 species